UGAGUCACUUCCUUGUUCUCUCGAGGCAUCGACACACAGCUGACAGGUUAGACUCUCCCUGUUAAUACUACACAGCUGACAGGUUGACUCUCUGUUAAUACAGCUGACAGGUUACUCUCCCUGUAAUA